GCGCCGGCGCGGUGGCUGCCGAUGGCGCUGAUCGCGUCGGUGCCGGCGCAGUGGCUGCCGAUGGCGCCGAUCGUGUCGGUGCCGGCGCG
rnacentral:tRNA from 1 species